UCCUACGGGAGGCAGCAGUGGGGAAUAUUGCACAAUGGGCGCAAGCCUGAUGCAGCCAUGCCGCGUGUGUGAAGAAGGCCUUCGGGUUGUAAAGCACUUUCAGUCGUGAGGAAGGUAGUUGCGUUAAUAGCGUAAUUAUUUGACGUUAGCGACAGAAGAAGCACCGGCUAACUCCGUGCCAGCAGCCGCGGUAAUACGGAGGGUGCGAGCGUUAAUCGGAAUUACUGGGCGUAAAGCGCAUGCAGGUGGUUUGUUAAGUCAGAUGUGAAAGCCCGGGGCUCAACCUCGGAAUUGCAUUUGAAACUGGCAGACUAGAGUACUGUAGAGGGGGGUAGAAUUUCAGGUGUAGCGGUGAAAUGCGUAGAGAUCUGAAGGAAUACCGGUGGCGAAGGCGGCCCCCUGGACAGAUACUGACACUCAGAUGCGAAAGCGUGGGGAGCAAACAGGAUUAGAUACCCUGGUAGUCCACGCCGUAAACGAUGUCUACUUGGAGGUUGUGGCCUUGAGCCGUGGCUUUCGGAGCUAACGCGUUAAGUAGACCGCCUGGGGAGUACGGUCGCAAGAUUAAAACUCAAAUGAAUUGACGGA
rnacentral:rRNA from 1 species